rnacentral:lncRNA from 1 species
GCGUCCGCGGUUGUACAUGCAUCAAAUAAGCAACUGUUUAGUUUCUCAAUCAAGAAUAUUUUUUUCAACCUGAGUGUGGUAUGUCCUCUUCUUCUGCACGGAUGCGUAUGCAGAAUAGUCAUAACCUCUAAACUCUUAACAUAUAUGUGUUAUGUGAUAAUGAUAAUGCCUUCCCGUUUAGUUUCUUUUUCUUUAUCUACCUUCUUUUAUUUAAAAUGUCCAUUCGAUAAUAAUCGAAUAGAGCAACCGCAAGAGUUGUUGAAGGUGAAAACACAUGUUUAGUUGGGAUU